AACGAAUGAGACCUUAACCUGCUAAAUAAGUUAUGCCAACAAAAGUUGGUAGCCAACUUCUUAGAGGGACUGUCGGCAUCAAGCCAACGGAAGUUUGAGGCAAUAACAGGUCUGUUAUGCCCUUAGAUGUCCUGGGGCUGCACGCGCGCUACACUGAUGAAGUCAAUGAGUUUAUAACCUUGGCCGGAAGGUCUGGGUAAUCUUUUGAAACUUCAUCAUGCUGGGGAUAGAGCAUUGCAAUC
rnacentral:rRNA from 1 species